UACAGAGGGGGCAAGCGUUGUUCGGAAUUACUGGGCGUAAAGGGCGCGUAGGCGGCCCGCUAAGUCGAACGUGAAAUCCCCGAGCUCAACUCGGGAACUGCGUCCGAUACUGGUGGGCUUGAAUCCGGGAGAGGGAUGCGGAAUUCCAGGUGUAGCGGUGAAAUGCGUAGAUAUCAAGUGGAACACCAGUGGCGAAAGCGGCUUCCUGGACCAGUACCGACGUCAGGCACGAAAGCGUGGGGAGCAAACAGG
rnacentral:rRNA from 1 species